GCGACCUCGGAUGCGACGCCAUAUUUUGAUUUUACUGGCAUUUGAGUAUUGAGUAGUAAAUUUUAAGAUUAUUGUGUCCGAAACAUCAGAAUACAUUUCUAAAUAGCUGACGAAAGAAAUCCAAUUUGCUGUUGGAACUGCUUUGGUAUUUCCAUAUACGAAGCAAGGCAUAGAAAGCCGCUGCUAGAAGUUUUCAGCCUCAGGCGCAAUGGAAUGGAACGGUAACGAAAGUCAACCUAUUAAAUACGAUCGUCGAUCAAUUAAGAGUGGAAACUUACAGAGUAUUAACGACGGUACGAUGAUUGCGGUUUUGGAAGAAUACCAAGCCAUUGCCGAAAAUCUUGUCUUGGACGUUCGACUUCGUCGGUGGUUCGACCACUACAAUCCUAGGAGUGUCAGGGAAGAUUGAGGUGCUGUA